rnacentral:rRNA from 1 species
UACGAAGGGGGCUAGCGUUGCUCGGAAUCACUGGGCGUAAAGCGCACGUAGGCGGACUCUUAAGUCGGGGGUGAAAUCCUGGAGCUCAACUCCAGAACUGCCUUCGAUACUGGGAGUCUUGAGUUCGGGAGAGGUGAGUGGAACUGCGAGUGUAGAGGUGAAAUUCGUAGAUAUUCGCAAGAACACCAGUGGCGAAGGCGGCUCACUGGCCCGAUACUGACGCUGAGGCACGAAGGCCAGGGGAGCAAACGGG